rnacentral:rRNA from 1 species
UUGGAAUGAUGGUGACCCAAACCCUCACCAGAGUAGCAAUUGGAGGGCAAGUCUGGUGCCAGCAGCCGCGGUAAUUCCAGCUCCAAUAGCGUAUAUUAAACUUGUUGCAGUUAAAAAGCUCGUAGUUGUAUUUUUGCGUUAGCGGUUUGACCAUUUGGUUGGUUAUUUCGUUUUCGCUUUUGGGAAUUUCCCUUUUUACUUUGAGAAAAUUAGAGUGUUUCAAGCAGACUUUUGUCUUGAAUACUUCAGCAUGGAAUAAUAGAGUAGGACUUUGGUUCUAUUUUGUUGGUUAUUGAACCUUAGUAAUGGUUAAUAGGAACGGUUGGGGGCAUUCGUAUUUAACUGUCAGAGGUGAAAUUCUUAGAUUUGUUAAAGACGAACUACUGCGAAAGCAUUUGCCAAGGACGUUUCCAUUAAUCAAGAACGAAAGUUAGGGGAUCGAAGACGAUCAGAUACCGUCGUAGUCCUAACCAUAAACUAUGCCGACUAGUGAUGGAGGUCGUCG